rnacentral:pre_miRNA from 1 species
AUGGUACUCCCUCCGUCCGGAAAUACUUGUCCAAAGAAUGGAUGUAUCUAGAUGUAUUUUAGUUCUAAAUACAUCCAUUUGUAUCCAUUUCUACGAUAAGUAUUUUCGGACGGAGGGAGUAUGAC